rfam:Gossypium raimondii Chr02_contig_1053, whole genome shotgun sequence.
AAACCAUGUAUCGGGCAUUUUCUAAUUAGUUCUUUGAAACGCUUCUAUGCUUCAUAUAAUGUUUCAUCUUACGAUUUCCUAAGCUUGACAUUUAUGUUGGGAGCAU